UUUACUUAUAAACAAAUGAACUUCUAAUUCAUUUAAGGAUUUCCUAAGUAAAG
rnacentral:tRNA from 1 species